ensembl:rRNA 5S_rRNA 5S ribosomal RNA
GUCUACGGCCAUACCACCCUGAACGCGCCCGAUCUCCGAAGCUAAGCAAGGUCGGACCUGGUUAGUAUUUGGACGGCAGACCGCCUGGGAAUACUGGGUACUGUAGGUU